AGAAUAUAUCUUAUUUAAUACAAUACAUCCAAAUAGUAUCAGUUCAACACAUAAUACAAAGUUAUUAAGGAGAUAUUUUCCAUUCUUUUUUGAAGAAAAAAGUCUGGUGAGUUUGGGCAAAGCCUGGUGAGUUGUGUAUGCUUCCAGUACCUCUCAAACUAGCCACAUUUCAAGUGCUUGGUAGCCAUUUAUGGCUACCAUAUUGGACACUGCAGCUCUAGAGAACUGUGUAGGUCUUCCAUUCCACAGGGCACUCUUCAGGAAACUCUUCCCUAAAAUGGUAUUUAUGGCUGGAAGCUCUCCCCAUGACGAAGAGCUAGGACCUGAGUCUACAGAAUAGUUGUAAAAUAUGUCAUCGCAGAAAAUGUGUGAAGCAUUUUGGGAAACAUCUCAACCUGUGGAAGAAUUUUUUAAAAUAAAUAAAUAAAUGAUAGAACAUGAGGUCAAAUAUUUCUUUUUGUACAGUGUUUGCUAUGUAACAAAUCAUCCCCAAAUCAAGCUUUAAAACCAGGAAGAUCAUAUAUUUGCUUAUGAUUUUGCAGUUGGGCAGAGCCUGGUGGGGACAAUUCCUGUCUGCUCCAACGGGCAUCAGCAGGGUCAGUUUGGCUGGAGCUGGAAGAUGCAUUUUCCAAGUGAUUCACUCACGUUCCUGGCGAGCCAGUGCUGGCUGUCGGCUAGGGCUUCAGCGGCAAGUGGAGAAGAAUCCUGGGCUCCUCCACAUGGCGACAUGGGCUGCCUCACAGCAUGGCAGUUGAGUUCCAGAAGGAAGAAGGCAGAAGCAGUCAGUCUUGUCAAAGCUAGACCUCGCAGUGGCACAGCAGUAUUUCUGUCCCCGUUCAAGACGGUGGAGAAACACAGCCCAUUUCUCAGCGUAGGCUGAGACAAAGAACUUGCAACUAUCUUUUCUCCACCAUAGGUGCUAUAGUACUUUUACAUCCAUCUUUGGGGGUGAGGGUGGUUGGGGGGUUACGGGACUUAAAAAAAAUAUUUUUUUAAUUGAGGUAUGGUUGAUUUACCAUAUCAUGUUAGUUUCAGGUGUAUAGCAAAUGAUUCAUUACACUUUUUUUCAGAUUCUUCUCCAUCAUAGGUUAUUAUAAGAUACUGAAUAUAGUUCUCCAUGUCAUACAGUAAACCCUUGUUCUUUAUCUAUUUUAUAGAUACAGCCAUAUUUUCAGUUGAUCUUCCCAGCAACCCUUUUAAUUUAAUAAUUCAUUUAUUAAUAUUGUCAAAGUAAAUAUGAUGAAAUCUUAAUUAUUCAUGCAUGUGUGGAACACAAAUGUUUGUUAUAACCAUCUCUUCAUGUUUUUUCUGGUUUUAAAAAUUUUCUAAUAAAUAAGCUUUAUUUUUUAAUUUACAGGGAAAAUUGCAGAGAUUCUACAUCAUUCUCACAUAGUCCUCCACCCCACACUAAGAAUUCCCCUAUUAAUGGCAUCUUACAUUAGUAUGGUACAUUGGUCACCAUCAAUGAACUAAUAUUCAUAUCCUAUUAUUAAGUUCCAUCAUUGAUUCAGAUUUCUAUGGUUUUAAGCCAAUGUCUUUUUUCUGUUCCAGGACCCUCCUGUCCAGGAUGCCACAUGACAUUUGGUUGUUCUUGUCUCCUUAGGUUCUUCCGGGCUCUGACAGUUUCUCAGGCUUUCCUGUUUUUUGAUGACCUUGACUGUUUUGAGGAGCACUGGUCAAGUACAGGGUGGGAUGUCCUAGUAUCAGAAUUUGUCUGGUGUUUUCCUCAUGAUUAGAUUGAGGUUGUGAGUUUAGGGGAGGAAGAUCAAAGAAGUAAAGUGCUCUUUUCAUCACAACACAUCAAGGGUCCAUGCUAGCGACACGAUUUAUGACUGCUGCUGCUGACCUUAUUUACCUAGCGGAGGAGGAACUCUCCCCUGGAAAGUUCCUCUUACUUGGAAGGAAGUUGCUAUGUAUAGCCUCUCCUUUAGGAUGAAAAAUCUGCAUAAAUUACUUGGAAUUCAUCUGCAUGGAAGAUGUGAGUCUUUGCCCUCAUUUAUUAAUUUAUCAAUCAUUCCUUUCUAUCAGUACAGACUCAUGGAUAUUUGCUUUAUGCUUUGGAUUACGAUGCAAUACCACUAUAUUUUGUUGCUCAAAUCAGCCACCAGGGGCUCUUUCAUUUAUUCAGCAACAUUUUGCUUUGGAUACUAUCAUGGCCAGGAGAAAGAUGAGAAAAAGGCAGUUCAUUCAAGCCAUGACACAAGGCCAAGACAUGGCAGGCCACCCCUGACUUCCGAAUCUCUGCUGCACACACUUAGCCCGCCUGGGCACUUUGCUGCUGCCCAGAGGACUGGCUGAGAUGGCCAGGCAGAUCCUCCUAGAAAGUCAAGCAGGUCACCACUAGUUGUAAGAGGUCCUUGGGUGUGUGGCCUCUCCGUAUUCUGAAAGUUCAUAGCCAAGGAAAGGGUAAUUAUAUACCUCAACAGAGAAACCAAACCAAACCAAACAACAUCGAAACAGCACUGGGUCAUAAUGAAGUGGUCCAGGGCUCCAUAAAUAGUGCUGCCCUGGUCCUCAACCAUCUCAGAAGCAAAUUAAGGCUUGUCUCCAUUCCGGGCAUGAACUUGCUGCCCUGGCCAACCCCCAGGGCUCUGAGUCUCCACCAGGAGCACCAUCCCUGAGCAAUGGGCAGAGAUCUGGGAACACUUACACAUGCCCACUGCACAGAAGGUGAGGGUAUGGUGGCCUCUCGACACAGUUGUUCUGGAACCCCACAGAAAAUCUCCACAUGGGCGACCAACCCCCAGGCCCAAGUGUCCUGGCCAUGGGCAAUGAAUGACUGCACAAAUACAUCUCUUUGUACCCAGCAAGGACCCAUCUUGAGAAAUAAACUG
ensembl:lncRNA